rnacentral:rRNA from 1 species
GAUGAACCCAGAUGGGAUUAGCUAGUAGGCGGGGUAAUGGCCCACCUAGGCGACGAUCCCUAGCUGGUCUGAGAGGAUGACCAGCCACACUGGAACUGAGACACGGUCCAGACUCCUACGGGAGGCAGCAGUGGGGAAUAUUGCACAAUGGGCGCAAGCCUGAUGCAGCCAUGCCGCGUGUAUGAAGAAGGCCUUCGGGUUGUAAAGUACUUUCAGCGGGGAGGAAGGCGACGGGGUUAAUAACCCUGUCGAUUGACGUUACCCGCAGAAGAAGCACCGGCUAACUCCGUGCCAGCAGCCGCGGUAAUACGGAGGGUGCAAGCGUUAAUCGGAAUUACUGGGCGUAAAGCGCACGCAGGCGGUCUGUUAAGUCAGAUGUGAAAUCCCCGGGCUUAACCUGGGAACUGCAUUUGAAACUGGCAGGCUUGAGUCUUGUAGAGGGGGGUAGAAUUCCAGGUGUAGCGGUGAAAUGCGUAGAGAUCUGGAGGAAUACCGGUGGCGAAGGCGGCCCCCUGGACAAAGACUGACGCUCAGGUGCGAAAGCGUGGGGAGCAAACAGGAUUAGAUACCCUG